AUGGGUCUCGCACAGUCGUGGCGAGUGAGCGGCAGAGCUCAGAUUUGAAUCGUGCUUUGCGGCACGAGUUGUAGAUUGCAGGUUGGAGUCUGUGUGGAAGGCGGUGUCCAAGUCCCUUGGAACAGGGCGCCCAGGAGGGUGAGAGCCCCGUGGGAUGCCGGCGGAAGCAGUGAGGCCCUUCUGACGAGCCGAG
rnacentral:rRNA from 1 species